GAUCCUGGCUCAGGACGAACGCUGGCGGCGUGCCCUUAACACAUGCAAGUCGAACGAGAAUCUGCGGAAAGAGGAUUCGUCCAAUUGAAGCAGAGGACAGUGGCGGACGGGUGAGUAACGCGUGAGGAACCUGCCUUUCAGAGGGGGACAACAGUUGGAAACGACUGCUAAUACCGCAUGACAUAUAGAUGUCGCAUGGCAUUUAUAUCAAAGAUUUAUCGCUGAAAGAUGG
rnacentral:rRNA from 1 species